rnacentral:rRNA from 1 species
UAGUCGCGACGUAGUUUGAUCAGUGGCUCGAGACGACGCUGGCGGCGUGCCUAACACAUGCAAGUCGAGCGGGGAUUGGGAAGCUUGCUUUCUGAUCCUAGCGGCGGACGGGUGAGUAACGCGUGAGCAACCUGCCUCUUACUGGGGGAUAACGCAUCGAAAGAUGUGCUAAUACCGCGUAAGACCACGGAGUCGCAUGGCCCUGACUGCCAAAGAUUUAUCGCUCUAAGAUGGCCUCGCGUCUGAUUAGCUAGUUGGUGGGGUAACGGCCCACCAAGGCGACGAUCAGUAGCCGGACUGAGAGGUUGACCGGCCACAUUGGGACUGAGACACGGCCCAGACUCCUACGGGAGGCAGCAGUGGGGAAUAUUGGGCAAUGGGCGCAAGCCUGACCCAGCAACGCCGCGUGAAGGAAGAAGGCUUUCGGAUUGUAAACUUCUUUUAAGAGGGACGAUAAUGACGGUACCUCUUGAAUAAGCCACGGCUAACUACGUG